GAGGGUACAGCUCAGUGGUAGAGCACAUGCUUAGUAUGCAUGAGGUUCUGGGUUCGAUCCUCAGUAUCUCUG
rnacentral:tRNA from 1 species